rnacentral:rRNA from 1 species
UACGUAGGUCCCGAGCGUUGUCCGGAUUUAUUGGGCGUAAAGCGAGCGCAGGUGGUUUAUUAAGUCUGGUGUAAAAGGCAGUGGCUCAACCAUUGUAUGCAUUGGAAACUGGUAGACUUGAGUGCAGGAGAGGAGAGUGGAAUUCCAUGUGUAGCGGUGAAAUGCGUAGAUAUAUGGAGGAGCACCGGUAGCGAAAGCGGCUCUCUGGCCUGUAACUGACACUGAGGCUCGAAAGCGUGGGGAGCAAACAGG